CAGGGCAGGAGGUGGAGGAUCCCUCUCCCAGCCCCAGCAGCUUGGCCUGCUUCCUGUGGGACAACAGCAGCGCCUGGAACUUGGACAGCAGCGAGGCCGACGGACGCUUCUGCUUUAUUCCAGUUUUCACAGAAAAAUGAUCAAGGACAUUUCAAAUGAGAAAAACAAACGAAACCAGAGAAACCCCCACCACACACAGUUUGGGUCUGAAUUUUUCUACUGAAAUUUGGAGACAAUAAAACUCAUCCCUUUUUUGGCCAGAAACCAAA